CCCAACUCUCAUACACUGGCCUUCCAUAGCACCAAUCAUACUGCCUCUCUCGCCCGUAGCCAAGCUGGUAACACGGUCCCCCACCACGCCCCUCAGAACAUUCCGUGCAACAUGCCCUAACAGGUGAGUAACACGGUCCACCACCACGCCCCUCGGAACAUUCCCUGCAACAUGCCCUAACAGGUGAGUAACACGGUCCCCCACCACGCCCCUCGGAACAUUCCCUGCAACAUGUCCUAAUUGGUGAGUAACACGGUCCCCCACCACGCCCCUCGGAACAUUCCCUGCAACAUGUCCUAACGGGUAGGUAACACGGAACGGGCUCCGGAGCCGGUGCCGGUGCCGGAGGCGGCGGUGGGGCUGGUGAUGGUUUUGGUUGGGGAGCCGGUGCCGGGGGUGGUGGCGAUGGUGAAGGUUUCGGUGGUGGUGGUGACGGUUUUGGUUCCGGAGCCGGUGCCGGCGGUGGUUUUGGUUUUGGCGGCGGCGGCGGCUUUGGCUUUGGUGGUUCCAGGAUUUCAAUAGUCUUGAUUGAACCAUCACCUUUGCAGCAUAGCUUGUCCCUGAUCUUUUCAGGACUGCAGCACACUACUUUUAUUGUCACCGUAUUCGUCUUCUCAUCGAAAAACUGUUCUUGUAUUUCUUUGGUCAAAAAGUUCAAACACAAUAUCUUAGCCCACCAUCCGCCAGCCAUUUUUUUAUUUGCAAACACAAAAUAAACAAUUCUACUUGCGCCUCACCAAAUGACACGCGAAUUCAGAAUUUUAUGCCAUUAUAAAACAUUUUACGAAACCAUAAUAUAUAAUAUAUGUAAAUGGACAUGGCCAGCGAUCAGAGAGACACUUACGUGGGAAUUUGCACAGUACUUUCUUGACUUUCUUGUAGCACUUUGAGCACUGAAGGUUAACCUUCAGCACCAUUAUUGUAACCUUCUGUAAACAAUAGUACACAGAUAAUACAAAAGUAUUUUUCAGCAGGCUAAUUAAUUAAAGAUAAAAGAGAGACAUUUAAUUAAUUUCUGACAUGAAAGAAUCAGCAAGGUAACUAUAUAUCUCCGUGUAUAUAUACACUAUAAGCUAUCAUCACGAAAGAUCGAUCGAUGCACAGCACAAACUUAACCAAAAGGGGAAUUACGAACCUUCUCUCCCAUAGCUGCUCGGAUCUGAACCUCAGGAAACCGGACACUGAUUAUUUGAAGCGUUAAUGUGACAGCAGGUAUGGAAAAGGGUCUUAUAAAUAAGUGCGCCAAUUUGAAACUUGUUUAAGAAGGGAAGGAAAAGUAAGGGCUUGAAUUCCGUACAUUAUACAUAACCAAUUAUCUGCCGACACGUCUUAUUGGAUGACGUCGAAUUUCAUGAUAUCAUCAAGGUUGUCGUUAUCUCCGUACAUAGUAAGUCUUUCUUCACAUUUAUGUAUGAUUGCUGACUCACCCAUUCUCCAUUGCAUUUGCAUGUGCUGCCUUUUGAUUGAUUGCCCUUUUCUCUGUUUUUCUUUUUUUUUUUUUGCUUUGCUUUUUUUUUUUCUUUUAUGUCUAAAGGAAAAUUUUUUGUCUUUCUCAUUUGAGCAAUAGUCAUAUUUCUUUACCUAAUUGAAAAUUAAAAAUAAAAAUAAAUAAGGGAAAAUGGACUUUAAUUGAACAACUGAUGUGAGAUCUAGGUAUAGAAAUUUACAUUCACCAACUCUUCCUAACCGUCAAAUUUGAUGCAUUUUUCGAACCCAGCACCUUGUGCCAUGGAUCGAGCAUUCAUUCUACAAACAGAGUAAUUGAUGAAAUAAUUUAAUCGAGCUAUUGGAAGUUUCACCAACCUAAAGUAAUCAUUGUCCUUAACCCAUAAACAAAGGGCCCAAUGAUCAAUUAAUAUAAGCUUUUGGAAGUUCAACCAAUCCCCGUAAGUAUACCUCCAACACUAAGGUAGCUAUUAUGGGCUUGUGGGACCCGCAUACUUAAUGCCUAAGUUAAGUGUCACAUCACUAAUUUAAUUUUAGAUUGGCCACACUCCAAGUAAUUAAAAAAGAUAAUGUUAUUAGUUUACCAGAAGCAGUUGUGACGCCUUGGCACCCACCUCCGCUUGGCCAUUUUAAAUUAAAUGUUGAUGCAGUCAUGGGGGAUGGUGGUGUGGGGGCCGUCGAUGGGUUAUCGGUUGCAAUUGAGGCAGGACUGACAUUGUUCAGAGAUUAUUUAAUUUUUAGCUUCGUGGUUUAUGUUGUCCAACGCUAUCUCACCAUUGUUAUUUAAGAUUAUUUUCUGAAACAUUAUCUCACCCAUAUUAUUGUUCAAAAAGAAAUUAAAGUAAAAAGCAGAUGGCCAAUUUAUCUCUUGUAUCAAUUCUUCUAUUCCUCUUCUUCAUUUAUGGUAAAAAUAACCAUUUUUCUUAAGUGUUUUAUGUAGCAUUUUUGUACUUAAUUUAUGCAAUGCUAUAAAAGAUCAAAUUUGAAUUUUAAAGAAUUAUUAUUAUUAUUAUUAUUAUUAUUAUUAUUAUUAUUAUUAUUUAUCAGGAACUGGGAAGAUAAUUGCCGAGACUCAGGAGAUAGAGCUCUGCAAGACAGCUAUUAUGUCCCAAAAAGAAUUUUGCUUUUGAAGCAUCACUUUCCCAAAAAGAAAUUCCAAAAAUUAUGUCUAAUUAAAAUCUUUUAGAAUCUCCCCAAGGUUUGAUUGCAUGGUUUUUAAACAGUUAUAAGCAGUUUUCAAGAAAUUGUUUUUUAUUAGUACUGAUUUGAACCUUAAGGAAGUUUGAGUUAAAAAAAUUGAUUUGGACUUAAUGGACUCCCUUAUCUUUAAAAGAAAAUGUAUCCUGCAGAAUUCGAAAGAAAUAAUUAAAAAAAAAUAAAACAAUGGAAUAAUUCAGAAAGAGAAAAUAAGAAGCACAUGUAAAAAGUAUUUUUCUAAUGAAUUUAUUUCAAUUUUUUGAUUUUAUAAAUAAAAACUCAAGGGUGAAAAAUUUUAAUGAGUAACGGUCGUUAAUGAAAAAUUUUAAUGAGUAAGGGUUGUUAUAUAUUUAACGAUGAAAUUAAAAGAAAAUAGUGUAAAUGAAAAAAAAAAAUAACAGAAGCGAUGAGAGUGAUUCUGAGAAGAGUUAGAGAUUAUUGUGGGUUGUCUAUGGUAUAGAGUAGGAAGAUUAAGUUAAAUAAAUUAGUUUGAUUUAUCUAAAUAAAUUAUUUCAUUAUAAAAUAGAAUUUACUCAUUGGUAAAGUACUGUAUAGAUGUUUUGGUUUUAUAUAAAUUUAUUAGAAGAGAUGAAUAUAAGGAGUAUUUUUAUCGAAUUCAAAAAGCUCAUAACUUUUCACUUGUAAUCAAUUUUUCUACCAUAAAUUUUUGUAUGAUUUUGGUCCCUAUGGGUAGAAGAAUUUAAAGGGGGCCAAAAUCAUAGAGGUAAACGUUUAGGGGUCAAAGUCUAAAAAGAGUAAAUUAUUUUGGUAAAAUGUCAAGAUAAAUUAAAGUUUCAGAGCCACCUCCCGCCUUUUUUUCAUUUAGCAAAAUAAUACUUUCAUGUAUUAUGCCGAGGUAGAUGUGAUGGACCUUUUUAAUAUUUAAAUUUUAUGAUAAAUAAUGAUGUGUCAUUUAUAAGAGAAAUUUUAUAAUAUAUUAGAGGUAGUACAUCAACUAAUACAUGUAUGACAUGUAUAUAUAGACUUGAUAUAACCUUUAUUUGCAUAAUAAUUUUUUAAAAUAAAUGUACAUAUAUUAUAAUAUAACUUGUUUAUUGUAUACCUGAUAUGAUACAUCUGAUUUAUUUUAGAAUUUUUCAUGUGAUUAAAAUUUUUUAUAAAGUUCUAAAUAAAUUAUUUUAUACCUGACAUUACUAUUGAAGAAUAUAUUGACAGAUAUUGUGGAAUAUUUAUAUGUAACUUAUUAGAAUUUAUACAAAAAUUGCAUAUAAAAUUACGAGAGCUUCUGUUCACUUUAAAUUAAUCAAUCUAACAAGAAUUUAAUUAAGGCUUCAUGCAUAUAACAAAGGCGAAGUGUAAGUUGUAAAAAGGCCAAAAAAAAAAUGUAUUGACAAUUUUCCAUUCUAGAUUCUAAAUUUCAAUAAACAUCUAAUUUAUCAACAAGCAUGUUCGUUCUUUUUAUGAUUGAAUGUUGAAAUAAACAGUGUAAGAUCCAUCUCUUAUGCUUGGUAAUGGCACCAAAAGAAAACUCCUCUUUGCUCCCUUUGCAACAAAGCGGAUAGGAUGAUAAUUCUUUUUCCAUUGCGAAGCAAACUACACUGUUAUAUCCAAACUCUGUUGACACUGAAUUGCAACUGACCUUCAUGCUUUCGCCCGAUUUCAAGUUAACACUAGUAGAAACGAAGCAACCCUUUUGGGUUACUGACUCCAAGGCUACUGUUUCAGCCUUUCCAUCCCAUCCGGUAACAAGGCGAAAAAUGGAGGAGCCAUGAACACUAGAAGAGUCUGCGACAACAAGUUCAUCAUCUGUUCCUUGCACUACAAGCAUUCCUGGGGAAGCAAAUAGUUCUAGCAUGACUGAUCUGCCAAUUGCAUCGCUGAGGGAUGAAAAUUCGGAGGAAGGUUUAUCGUUUAAGAUGAAUCUUAAAGUGGCUUGAAGGGCAAUGUCAGUGCCAGAUUUAGGGGAUUCUGCCAUUGGAAUAGAUUGUCAAGACAAAAGUCGAGUUUCUGGAAACUUUGGAAAAUGUGACCAGCUGAAAUUAUAUGAUGCAGGAAUUGGAGCAACAACUUCUGAAAGAGAUGUUGCUGAUUCAGUCCUGAUAUCGGAGUCCCCAUUGCUGUAGCUCGUAGGCAGAUAAGACCGUGGUGAAUGGCCGAUCAGCUGAAGAAGAAAAAAGAUUUUCAGUCAAAGAUUUUUCAUUGAUAACAGAAAUUGUAAACAAAACAGUUCAUGAAGAUUCCAUCGAUAGGCUCUGUCCUUAGAAUAAGGGGCAGCUGAAUGGUUAAUUUGUCAUCAUAUGUCCAUGCUGUGGUGAUACUUGGAAAUUUCGUGCAUCGGGAAUGUAACUGUUUGUUACAUGUCUUUAUAAAAGAUGAAACCCCACUUUUAAUUUUUCUAUCUGAAAUAAAAAAUUGAAAAACAAUCAAAGAUAUUAUAAUUCAGCACCUGCCGAUGGUAGAGGCAAAUCCUGGCCAUUUAAUGUUGCCUUUGCUCCAUUAGUAUUUGUCCACCUCGAUAUUCUGAAACCAAAGGAUAGUGAUCGAGCUGCUCCCUGGAUAUACAUCAAAUCCAGAAUGUGUGAUGGAUGAACUUCUCAUUACAAUGUUAAAAAAUAAACACCAAGUUUGAUAGCCAGUACCUUAGGAAGAAAUGUGAAUGUGAUAUGACGAUAAGGAUCUGAAGAAACAACAGGAUCAACUUUCUGGUUGGGCAGAAUAUGUCCAGAUUUCCAAUCAAGUGAGCUCGAUAUGUACCGAAUGAUGUAAAGACCAGGAUAUAAUCCUUCCUCUUCAAAGUAAAUUGAAUAUCCCAACUUUGCGAAUGACUUAAUUCCUCCAUGGGAAACAAGAAUAAAAUCUAGUAUACCAAUUGGCGGAAACUGUGCAAAUUUAGAAAGCAACUCAUGAGAUUCAAGAACAUUGAGAGUAAAGAGAAAAAAUGGGCAAUGAAUACCAGACAUGUGCCAUAACAGCACCAGAAUGAAUUUAAUUAAUGCGUAAACAAAUUUUAUUCAACUUUAUUUCUAAUCCAGUCAUUAACAUUCUUAUAGCAAUUUAACUCUAAGAUUUACCUAACACAUACGACUACUUUUAAAACUCACGACACUUUUUAAAAUAAAUUUUACUAAAUGUUUAAUUGAUUCUCUUUACAGUUGAAUAUAUUUAUAAUACAGCUAACAAUAAUUAUUUUAAAAAAUACAUCAUUACCAAAUAGGCCGCCAAUAAUUGGAAAACUAAUUGUAGCAUUAACAAACUCUACAUUCACCAACCUUUAUUUAUCUUUGAUUUUCCUAUAGAGUCUAUAUUACCCAAAAUGUUAAAGAUUAAACCAGCAUACAAGAAGCAACUAGAAGAAAGUAAACGAUAUGAUCACUGACGAUUACCAUUCAUGAUCAUUGAUUUAUGAGAUUGUGCAAGACAGUGGUGGAUUUCCUUCACAGGUGGAAUCUAACGACCACGGGUGCAAAUGAACAGCGACCACAAGUGCAAUAUGAACAGCGACCACAAGUGCAAUCUGACCAGCGACCUCUCCAAUAAACUCUAUUAUGGCAGCUACCACCCCAGCUCUCAUACACUAGUCUUGCAUAGAUCACAAUGCCUCUCUUGCCCCAAGCCAAGCUGGUGACACGGUCCCCAACCAUGACCCUCAGAACAUUGCUUGCAACAUACCCUAACCGAUGUGUAACACGGCACUGGCACCAGGGGUGGUAGUGGUGGUUUUGGGUUUUCCCCAUCCGGUUGUGGCGGGUUUUUUUUUAUCCCCAUCCGGUUGUGGUGGUUUUUUGUUAUCCCCAUUCGGUUGUGGCGGGUUUUUUUUAUCCCCAUCCGGUUGUGGCGGUUUUUUGUUAUCCCCAUCCAGUUGUGGUGGUCUAGGGUUAGGCUUUUUAUCAGGUUCCAGGAUUUCAAUAGUCUUGAUUGAACCAUCACCUUUGCAGCAUAGCUUGUCCCUGGUCUUUCAGGACUGCAGCACACUACUUUUAUUGUCACCGUAUUUGUCUUCUCAUCGAAAAACUUUUCUUGUAUUUCUUUGGUCAAAAAGUUCAAACACAAUAUCUUAGCCCACCAUCCGUCAGCCAUUUUUAUUAUUUACAGACACAAAAUAAACAAUUCUACUUGCGCCUCACCAAAUAACACGCGAAUUCAGAAUUUUAUGUCAUUAUAAAACAUUUUACGAAACCAUAAUAUAUAAUAUAUGUAAAUGGACAUGGCCAGCGAUCAGAGAGACACUUACGUGGGAAUUUGCACAGUACUUUCUUGACUUUCUUGUAGCACUUUGAGCACUGAAGGUUAACCUUCAGCACCAUUAUUGUAACCUUCUGUAAGCAAUAGUACACAGAUAAUACAGAAGUAUUUUUCAGCAGGCUAAUUAAUUAAACAUAAAAAGGGGGACAUUUAAUUAAUUUCUGACAUGAAAGAAUCAGCAAGGUGACUAUAUAUCUGUGUGUGUAUAUACACUAUAAGCUAUCAUCACGAAAGAUCGAUCGAUGCACAGCACAAACUUAACCAAAAGGGGAAUUACAA
rnacentral:lncRNA from 1 species